rnacentral:rRNA from 1 species
AUGGUCUGUCUCCUUCCAUGCACAUCUCUUCACGCGGCAGGGUGAAAGCAACCCUAGAGCCCUCCUCAUUCCAUCCACUCCCCAAUGCCUCCUCCUCAUCCCCAGCCGGUGGCUCAACCUCUCGUGCCCUCGCCGCCAUCAACCUCUCGUGCACUCACACGCCAGCCGCCGAUAUCCCGCGCCCUCACCCGCCAGUAGCCGAAGUCGCUCUCCCCCGCAGGCCGCCGUGCUCGGGAUUUAUGGCUGCUCCUUCGCCUCGCCCAUGUAGAUCCGCCAUUGCCUCCCUCCCUUGUUGAUGUUCAUCUUAUCUAUUUAUGCAGGGGGCUCGUCCUUCCGUGGUGCUCAGCCACCAUCCGGUUUGGAGGGGGAAUAGGAGACUCCCAACGAAAACGAGUGUGCUAGCGGUGGACCCAAGGAUGCGUGGUGAUUGUGCCAGGUCCAUGCUCCAGUUCUUCUGUUGGAACUACGAGAGUGCAGCUAAAUAAGAGUUGUUGGCAGUAGCAACCUACACAUGUGGAUACAGUGGUUAUGGCGGCUCAAAGGGAAGUUUUGUCUGCCAGACAACAACUCACAACUUAGUGGCGGCUCAAUGUACAUAUGAUCUAUUUCUUCUUGGAGAUAUCUACUAUCAUAUUAUGACUUGGUGCUAUCUGAACCUUCUAUUUUCUCACCUUUUUUGGCGGCAAUUAUCCCUUAGACUGCAAUAGUUUUUAUAGGUGCCAUUGUAAGUGUAGGUUUUCUACAGUUAAGCCUCUUGCAUUGCAAAAAGCUACAUUCCAUUGUUUUUCUACGUGCCAUUGUAAGUGCAGGUUUUCUACUAGCUUCAACAUAGAUAAUUAGCAUGAGAGAGGCUUAACUGUAGCUUUUUGCAAUGCUAGAAGGACAUAUUCAGUACUGAAAAUCUAGACUGUUCUUUCCACUCUGUAACAACUUCUAUGCUUGCGCUACCAUGAUAUCACUACAACAUUUCCCUAUAAAAUUUUAGUAGUUGCAUGUAAACUGAAUUGAUUUACCAGUAAAAAUCUGGACAACUCAUUCCAGUCGAUAAUAACCAUUGUGGCAUUACCAUGAUAUGUCAUGUAUUUGCUCCGAGUCGUAGUAUGUUGCAGAAAGUAUAAUAAGAGAUAGAAUGUAUGCACUAUGGCGAAUGUAUGCAUUAUGGCUAGCAGUAACAUUUUUUUGACUUGCGCAGCAUUUGAUCUAUCUAUUUCUGCAGGCUAUUUCUCAUGUUGCAACCUUUUCCCGUAGAAUCAAAACGAGUUAGAUGGAAGAAAUUGCAGGAGCUUGCUAUUAUUAGAGAAGGAAUGGUAUUCCCGGCGUGACAUUCAAAAGCAGUCAAGAUGGUGAGGUUUAGAACGGAGGAGCUCCGCGGAAUUAUGGAUAGAAAAUAUCCAUAACAUGUCUGUCAUUGCCAUGUUGACCGCGGUAUGUGACCAAGCAGUGACAGCUGUCUCUAAUUAUCAAUUUUAUACAGUAGAAUCUUCUUGAUUGAUGAUUUUGUAGUCUUCUCUUAGUUGUACUAUAUUAAUUCUUAAAACUAGAUCAUUUAAAAUUAGUUAGAUUUAAUGAGUUGUUUCACUGUUUUCAAAUAAGUAGUUUAAGCCCUUAUUGUGUUCUGGAGCAUAUUCUUUCUGCCUUUUUAUGAUUGAUUUAUGCUCUCAAAAGCUUAAUUGUAACUAUCGGCGUAUAAUCUCAUGGCUCAAAAUCUUAAUUGUUGAAUGUAUUAAAAUUUAUGAUCUGGAGUUUGCACUAUAUUUCAUACAGCGGUAUUCCCAGUAACUGAAUGUUAAGAGAACUGACGAUCCCAGGUUGUACAUUCAGUUACUGGGAAAUGCUUUUAUCUUGUAGGCUAGUUUGACACUUACUUUUUCAAUAAUGAGAUGACCAUGAGCAGUGUAUCAAGGUCUUUUAAAUACUAACGUUGUGUUAAGAUUAGUAAAAGAAGGAUUGAUAGCGGCAUACCUUAACUCGACUGAUUCUUUAAUUGCUGCCUCUCUAAGCCUUGAUUAGCCAUGGAGAUACUGAAGUUCCAAAGCCACAAGUUAGGCCAUCCUUCUAAGAUCCGUUCAUCCCAGUUCAUUAAUUUGUUUGAAAUAUAUAUUUAUAUUCCAAAAUUGCUCAAUCUCCAGCAGGCCUCAAGGUUAUCAGAUGAAAUCCGGUUAAAUUUUCCUCUAGACUUAGUUGAAAGUAUUCCUUUUGUUAUCCAGUUUUUUGCUACGCAUGUUACCUUUGUCGCUGAAUAUUGCCUACAGUUUAUAUAUAGUAGACUCACAUGAUUACCUGAUGACUCGUUCACGCAAGAACUAUUGUCAAUUUUUUCCUUUUCUGCAAUGAUGGUCGUAGCCCUUUGAUUCUACAAGCCGCAAAGGAGCAAAGUGUAGAAAAAUAUGUCCAUUGUUGUUGAAUUGGUGGGAUUGUCACCAAGUUAGUGCUGCAGAUUGUUUCUAUUUUAGAGGAAGAAGCCAAAUCAUGUUGUUCAUUGUAAAUCUUGAAAAACUUGUUUAUUGUCACUUUUAUAUCUGUUAUAAACUUUUGUUCA